rnacentral:lncRNA from 1 species
CAAAUUGCAGGGAGAUAAUGGUUACAGAUGCGAAUGAAACUGAGAUGCUAGCGUGCAAGACAACAGAUAGGAUUAAAUGUGCACUGUUGAUUACAAGUGCAUGACUUUUCGUGUGAUGUAGAGAGGCAAUACUCUAGUUUGCAUGUGGCGAGGUCCAUCAAACUUAGCAGCCACCAAAAGAAUUUGCAUGCCCUACUGCUUUUCAAAGGUGUGUCAAGUUGUGUUUGGAAUCAGAAUUAGC